rnacentral:rRNA from 1 species
GACGAACGCUGGCGGCGUGCUUAACACUUGCAAGUCGAACGAGUGGCGAACGGGUGAGUAAUACGUGAGUAACCUGCUCUCUUUUUGGGAUAAGCCUUGGAAACGGGGUCUAAUACUGGAUUAUGGGGGAUGGGCACGCGGCCUAUCAGCUUGUUGGUGGGGUGUUGGACUACCAAGGCGGUGACGGGUAGCCGGCCUGAGAGGGUGACCGGCCACAUUGGGACUGAGAUACGGCCCGGACUCGUACCAGAGGCAGAAGUGGGGGGUAUUGCACAAUGGGCGAAAGCCGGAUGCAGCGACGCCGAGUGGGGGAUGAAGGCUUUCGUGUUGUAAACCUCUUUCGCUAUCGAACGAGUAGGUGGAGCAGAAGCGCCGGCAAACUACGUGCCAGCCGCCGCGGUAAUAC